rnacentral:rRNA from 1 species
UACAGAGACUGCAAGCGUUAUUCGGAUUCACUGGGCGUAAAGGGUGCGCAGGCGGCCGUGUGUGUCAGGUGUGAAAGCCCGGGGCUUAACCCCGGAAUUGCGCCUGAAACUACAUGGCUAGAGCAUUGGAGAGGGUAGCGGAAUUCACGGUGUAGCAGUGAAAUUCGUAGAUAUUCGCAAGACCACCAGUGGCGAAGGCGGCUUGCCAGAACGCGCUCGACGGUGAGGGAUGAAAGCUGGGGGAGCAAACCGGG